rnacentral:tRNA from 1 species
GGGAACAUGGCUUAGUGGGAAGAGCAUUAGAUUUGGAUUCAGAAUGCUCUCAGUUUGAACCCUAGUUUUUUCA